rnacentral:rRNA from 1 species
CUCUUUUUCUUCUUUCUCCUUCUUAACGCUGGCGGCGUGCCUAAUACAUGCAAGUCGAGCGAACAGAUAAGGAGCUUGCUCCUUUGACGUUAGCGGCGGACGGGUGAGUAACACGUGGGUAACCUACCUAUAAGACUGGGAUAACUUCGGGAAAACGGAGCUAAUACCGGAUAACAUUUGGAACCGCAUGGUUCUAAAGUGAAAGAUGGUUUUGCUAUCACUUAUAGAUGGACCCGCGCCGUAUUAGCUAGUUGGUAAGGUAACGGCUUACCAAGGCGACGAUACGUAGCCGACCUGAGAGGGUGAUCGGCCACACUGGAACUGAGACACGGUCCAGACUCCUACGGGAGGCAGCAGUAGGGAAUCUUCCGCAAUGGGCGAAAGCCUGACGGAGCAACGCCGCGUGAGUGAUGAAGGGUUUCGGCUCGUAAAACUCUGUUAUUAGGGAAGAACAAAUGUGUAAGUAACUGUGCACAUCUUGACGGUACCUAAUCAGAAAGCCACGGCUAACUACGUGCCAGCAGCCGCGGUAAUAC